UACGUAGGGGACUAGCGUUGUUCGGAAUUACUGGGCGUAAAGCGCACGUAGGCGGAUAUUUAAGUCAGGGGUGAAAUCCCAGAGCUCAACUCUGGAACUGCCUUUGAUACUGGGUAUCUCGAGUAUGGAAGAGGUGAGUGGAAUUCCGAGUGUAGAGGUGAAAUUCGUAGAUAUUCGGAGGAACACCAGUGGCGAAGGCGGCUCACUGGUCCAUUACUGACGCUGAGGUGCGAAAGCGUGGGGAGCAAACAGG
rnacentral:rRNA from 1 species